UCCGGUUGAUCCCGCCGGAGACUACUAUUAUCAGGAUUCGGCUAAAACAUGCGAGGUAUAGAGGUAUGGUUAGCAAUAACCAGAUUUCAAACCGUACUGCUCAGUAACACGUAGUUAACCUGCCCUUCAAUGGAGGAUAAUCAUGGGAAACUGUGAAUAAUACUCUGUAGAUGAUUAUGGCUGGAAGGCCUUUUCAUUGAAAGCCAACUCUGUUGGCGCUGAAGGAUGGGACUGCGACGGAUUAGGUUGUUGUUGAGAUAAUUGCUCAACAAGCCGAUAAUCCGUACGGGUCGUGAGAGCGAUUGCCCGGAGAUGCAUUCUGAGACAUGAGUGCAGGCCCUACGGGGCGCAGCAGUUGCGAAAACUUUCCAAUGCCUGAAAGGGUGAGAAGGGGAUCCUGAGUGAUGUCGCAAUGCGACAUCUUUUCUUCACUGCAAAAAGGUGGAGGAAUAAGUGGUGGGCAAGACGGUUGCCAGCCGCCGCGGUAAUAACCGCGCCACAAGUGGUAGUCACGUUUAUUGGGCCUGAAGCAUCCGUAGCCGGCUUGAUGUGUCUUUGGUGAAAUCUGGCAGCAAACUGUCAGGCUUGCUGAAGAUACUAUCAGGCUUGAGACCGGGAUAGGGUGAGGGUACAAUAUGGGUAAGGGUAAAAUCUUUUAAUCCAUAUUGGACCACCUGUGGCGAAGGCGUUCACCUGGAACGGGUCUGACGGUGAGGGAUGAAAGCUAGGGGAGCAAUCGGGAUUAGAUACCCCGGUAGUCCUAGCUGUAAACGAUGCCCACUUGGUGUCACACGUCCUUCGGGGACAUGUGGUGCCGUAGCGAAGGUGUUAAGUGGGCCGCCUGGGGAGUACGGUCGCAAGACUGAAACUUAAGGGAAUUGGCGGGGGAGCACUACCAGAGGUGGAGGCUGCGGUUCAAUUGGAUUCAACGCCAGGAACCUUACCCGAGAAGAGAGCAGAUUGAUGGUCAGCCUGAAGGGCUUACCUGACACGCUCAGAAGUGCUGCAUGGCCGUCGCCAGUUCGUGCUGUGAAGUGUCUUGUUAAAUCAAGAAACGAACGAGACCCGUACCAUUAGUUGCCAAUGCUAUGUUCGCAUAGCAUGCACUCUAGUGGGACCGCUGGUGCUAAAUCAGAGGAAGGAGCGGGCUACGGCAGGUCAGUAUGGCCUGAAUUUUCGGGGCUACACGCGGCCUACAAUGCGCAGGACAAUGGGAUGCGACACCGUAAGGUGAAGCCAAUCUCCUAAACCUACGCUUAGUUCGGAUCGUGGGUUGCAACUCACCCACGUGAAGCCGGAAUCUCUAGUAAGCAAAGGUCAUCAUCUUUUGCUGAAUACGUCCCUGCUCCUUGCACACACCGCCCGUCAAACCAUCCGAGCGAACCCUUGGUGAAGCCUGAAAGUAUGCCGCAAGGCAUGACUACAGUUUGAAUCACGGAUUUGCAAGGAGGGUUAAGUCGUAACAAGGUAGCCGUACGGGAACGUGCGGCUG
rnacentral:rRNA from 1 species